CCUACGGGAGGCAGCAGUAGGGAAUUUUCGGCAAUGGGGGAAACCCUGACCGAGCAACGCCGCGUGGGGGAAGAAGGCCUUCGGGUCGUAAACCUCUGUCUUUGGGGACGAUAAUGACGGUACCCGAGGAGGAAGCCCCGGCUAACUACGUGCCAGCAGCCGCGGUAAUACGUAGGGGGCGAGCGUUGUCCGGAAUCACUGGGCGUAAAGGGCGUGUAGGCGGCCUGUUAAGUCAGGCGUGAAAACCCCGGGCUUAACCUGGGGACUGCGCUUGAAACUGGCGGGCUUGAGGGCAGGAGAGGAAAGUGGAAUUCCCGGUGUAGCGGUGAUAUGCGUAGAUACCGGGAGGAACACCAGUGGCGAAGGCGGCUUUCUGGACUGCACCUGACGCUGAGGCGCGAAAGCCAGGGGAGCGAACGGGAUUAGAUACCCCGGUAGUCCUGCCCGUAAA
rnacentral:rRNA from 1 species